AAAUCAUGUUGUAGGCAAUUUCUUAAGAAUCCCUUAUAUCUUUCCCAAGCUUCAUAUAAGGCCUCUUCACUUUCUUGUUGGAAGCUAGCUAACUUUUUUUAAUUGAGUAU